AAGCAUUUGUUUCUAGAUCUGAGUAUAUCAAUAUUACCUUGUUCAGAACUUAAAGAGAAAUCUUGAGUUUAUGGACUUCAGGGGGAGUAUGGUCACAAGGCUGAAACUUAAAGGAAUUGACGGAAGGGCACACCAGGAGUGGAGCCUGCGGCUUAAUUUGACUCAACACGGGAAAACUUACCAAGACCGAACAGUAGAAGGAAUGACAGAUUAAGAGUUCUUUCAUGAUUUAUUGGGUAGUGGUGCAUGGCCGUUCUUAGUUGGUGGAGUGAUUUGUCAGGUUAAUUCCGGUAACGAACGAGACUGAAACCUAUUAAUUAGUUUUCUGCCUAUAAGACAGAAAUGUUCGCAAGAACAGGUGCGUAAGUACCACUUCUUAAAGGGACACAUUUCAAUUGUCCUAUUUUAAUUGUAGUUAUCUAA
rnacentral:rRNA from 1 species